GGAACAACAGUUGGAAACGACUGCUAAUACCGUAUACGCCCCUUGGGGGAAAGAUUUAUCGGAGAUGGAUGAGCCCGCGUUGGAUUAGCUAGUUGGUGGGGUAAAGGCCUACCAAGGCGACGAUCCAUAGCUGGUCUGAGAGGAUGAUCAGCCACAUUGGGACUGAGACACGGCCCAAACUCCUACGGGAGGCAGCAGUGGGGAAUAUUGGACAAUGGGCGCAAGCCUGAUCCAGCCAUGCCGCGUGAGUGAUGAAGGCCUUAGGGUUGUAAAGCUCUUUCACCGGUGAAGAUAAUGACGGUAACCGGAGAAGAAGCCCCGGCUAACUUCGUGCCAGCAGCCGCGGUAAUACGAAGGGGGCUAGCGUUGUUCGGAAUUACUGGGCGUAAAGCGCACGUAGGCGGAUAUUUAAGUCAGGGGUGAAAUCCCAGAGCUCAACUCUGGAACUGCCUUUGAUA
rnacentral:rRNA from 1 species